CUUCUAGAGGAGGAAACCGGGCCCCGUUAAGGCUAAAUGGCGGGUCUCAAACUUUUAGGGAUGGAAAGGGGAUUAACAUUUGCAGGGUGCUUUGCCAGCCACCACAGCCCCAGUGCCAUUUUAGACGCUUUAAACAAGUCCUGAGAGGGCAAGCAACCUGCUGAGGGGGACUCGUGCGGCUGUGGGAAAAGGGACCUGCGGUGGUUCAGGAAAGCAGCCUGAAGUGACCGAGCCUGGACGCGCCAGACACAGUGUGGGAAGAGUGCCAUCCAAUCCUCCGCGGAACCCUGGCGGGGCGGGCUAGGAAGCGCUUCCAAGCGCAGGGGAGUGUAGCUGAGCACAGCGCCGGGAGCUGGUGAGGUCACCAGGCUGGGAUGAGGUCCAUCUAAGGUUUAAGAGCGCGGUCGUCUGAGGCUAAAGUCCAGCUCUUUAUCUCUGCCGCCGGGGAUCCUGGGGCGCAGUUUAAAGGAGAGGGUGGCUAGGGUCACGUGACCGAUCACUCCAAGAGAAGUCAACCCCAGGCGGGCGGUUACGACGCUCCUGCUCCUUAGUGGUCUUCAUUUCUGUAGUGAGGGGCCGGAGGUGACGGUGCAGCAGGCAGGAGCCAGGGUAAACUUCACCCAGGUGGCCGCAGUGCGAAGGCAGCGAGGCCCUACAGCAAAUGGCCAAGGCCGCCUCAGACGCAAAGCUGCUCCCCCUUCCUCUUUGCCGCAGGUCAAACCUGCCCCAUUCUCCCAGUUCCUCCCCAGCCCGGGCCUCCGGGAGCCCUCUGCUGGAAGAGAUGUGCUUUCUUUUUUUAGUAUCUUGAGUUUUUUAGACCAGGUCUCGCUCUUCUGCCGCCCAGUUUGGAGUGCAGCGGGGCGAACACGGCUCACUGCAGCCUCCAACUCCUGGGCUCCAGCAAUCCUCCCGCCUGGGACUACAGGCGCGAGCCAUGGUGCCUUGGGCCGGUGUGCGCUUUCUUACUUUGCCCUUUACAUCGCAUACUGGGUUGUUCACCCGCGACUUCCGUUUCCGAGGAGCGCACGGCGGCGGGGCUUCUCUCUGCAAAGACCACCGACCCGAGGAGAGCGCUUGAUCAAGGACAUCACGGCUCCCUCGAUGUCCACUAGGAGGAGACAAAGAAACGCGGACCAGAAGAGUCAAAAUGCGCUUUAUUCUUUAUUGCGGGUGGCUCAUCAAUGACGCCGUGGCCUUCCCAACGCCCAUCACCUUCUGCUCUCCUCUUCCCACCACGCCAGCAUUUUUAAAAUUUUAUUUAUUUAUUUAUUUAUUUAUUUUUAUUUAUUUUUAUUUUUAUUUUUAUUUAUUUAUUUUUUUUUUUACAUCUUAAAUUUUUAAUCCUUUCUUUACAGGUUACUUAUACCACUUUUGAUUAAGAAAACUGUAGAAAGUUAGUAACUGCCACAAGCGAAUGCCAGGCGGUGGCACGUGUCAAUUUCCACAGAGUCCUGCUUUGCGGGGUGUCUGAAUGCACUGCACGGGGCCUCUGCUCACACUUGCUGGAACCAAUCGUGGCAGAUUUUAGUCCACAGGUCGCUUUUCCCCAUAUUUCUUUGUAAACUCUUCAGCAUUCUUACAGAAUUUUUUACGGUCCUUAGAGUAUUCUUCAGCUAGGUCAGCCCGAAGCGGGUGCUCGGGCUGGGGGGUCAUUCACCAGUACUAUGAGGGACUGGAUUACUUGGUCGGUUUUGGUUGCUGGCUUCCAGUUUUCAGCGCUAAUUACUGGCAGACAGACCUGCCCCUUUUCGUCGAUGUUCGGGUGAUAGAUCUUUGUUUGUUUGUUUGUUUUUUUUUUUGAGAUGGAGUCUCGCUCUGUCGCCCAGGCUGGAGUGCAGUGGCCGGAUCUCAGCUCACUGCAAGCUCCGCCUCCCGGGUUCCCGCCAUUCUCCUGCCUCAGCCUCCCAAGUAGCUGGGACUACAGGCGCCCACCACCUCGCCCGGCUAGUUUUUUUUGUAGUUUUAGUAGAGACGGGGUUUCACUGUGUUCGCCAGGAUGGUCUGGAUCUCCUGACCUCGUGAUCCACCCGUCUCGGCCUCCCAAAGUGCUGGGAUUACAGGCUUGAGCCACCGCGCCCGGCCAGAUCUUUGUUUUAAAUGUGAUCUUCGGUGGUUUGAAUGGGUACUCUGCUGGAAAGUUGAUUUCGAUUCUGAAGGCCCCCUUAUCAUAUGGAGGGUUGCCAGGAACAAUAAGCCCUUGCCAAGUCAAUAAAUUAGCUUCAUCAACCUGGAUGUUAUGGAAGUUUUUCAUCCCACAUUUGCGGAUUUCUUCAAGCUCCUUCAUCAGCCUCCUGCUGGCCGCCAUCUUGGAUUUGGUCAAAAAAUUUUUUUUUUUUGAGAGGAAAUCUCACUCUGUCGCCCAGGCUGGAGUGCAGUGGUGCCAUCUGGGCUCACUGCAACCUCUACCUCCCAGGUUCAAGCGAUUCUCCUGUCUCAGCCUCUCGAGUAGCCAGGAACACAGGCGUCCACCACCACGCCCAGCUAUUUUUGUAUUUUUUAAGUAGAUACAGGGUUUCACCAUGUUGGCCAGGCUGGUCUCGAACUCCCAACGUCAGGUUAUCCACCCUCCCAGGCCUCCCAAAGUUCUGGGAUUAUAGGCGUGAGCAACCGCGCCCGGCCCACGCCAGCUUUUAACAUGCAGGUCUGUUUCGCAGGACUUGGGGCCGCGAGCCUUCAAGGGGCACUCUCCCGCAAUGCCCACACUCCAGGCGCGGGGAAGGGCCGCGGGACCUUGGCAGCUGCGUGGUCAAAGGCGACUCGUGGCG
rnacentral:lncRNA from 1 species